GCCCUCUCAGGAUGGCACCUGGAGAGUUUCCAGUUCUCUACCAGCCUCGGCUAUGGGAGGGAGAUUCAAGCAGAGUCCCAAGCAUCCCAUUCCUAGCUUGGCCAGUGGCUAGCGAGUGGAAGGCAAUCUGCUACAAGU